GAUGAGGGGAAAUAGAAUAUGCAAGCAGAUACCUUGGAAUGAUGACAAUGAAUUGCUAGCAGCUUGGAGGGAAGCUAGAACAGGAUAUCCUUGGAUUGAUGCAAUCAUGGUUCAGCUUCGCAAGUGGGGUUGGAUGCACCAUCUAGCACGGCAUUGUGUUGCUUGUUUUCUAACUCGUGGUGAUCUGUUUGUGCAUUGGGAAAAAGGGCGCGAUGUUUUUGAGAGACUUUUGAUUGAUUCAGAUUGGGCAAUUAAUAAUGGG
rnacentral:misc_RNA from 1 species